CCCAGACGCGUCCCAAAUCCCGGCGUUCCACCUUCCUCAUCCCGGCGCGUCUCGGCCUCCCAUCGGCGACCCUUGGGCCAUCCCGGCGUAGCUCUGCGCGGCCGGCUCCCAUCCCGCCCCGGCGAUUCAUUCCGCUCGUCGCGCCGUCGCCCGUUCCAAGUUCCGCCGCCGCCGCCCGUUCCGAGCUCCUCCGCCGUAGUCGCGGUCAACCGCCGGCCAGAGUCCUGCGACCUGAUCCACCUAACGCGUGGGAACUCAUACAUCAGUUCACCAUCGUUCGUGACUCCGUUCCAAGCUCCGCGAGGUCGCUCCGCUCCCGUCGCCGUCGCCCCCAGGUGCAAGCCGAACUACCGGGCAACAUCGAUGGUUGAAAAGAUUAUCCAGCUAGCUGCCCAUAUCACCUGCAAAAAUCACAUACCCCGCGCACCAAAUUGCUCAGUCCCUCCAAUUUCCUUAUCCAUCCUUCAAUCCCCAUGGCCACAGAUCCAUUCCAUCGCAAUCGAUGCACACCGCGUCCACAGAUCAAGAAGCGUAGUGCACAGGAGAAGGAGAAUCAAAUUGGUUUGCUUCUUUUAUUUUCCACGUAAACAUCUAUUUAUUUCAGUUUCAGUUUGUCCCAAUCAACUAACAUUGGAAUCGCAUUUGUGGCGUUCUACCACGCUGGCGCCAGCUUCCUAUCCCUCCCCUUACUGUGAGCAACUAAUCCAUACUCAAUCUCAGUUUUCCAUGCUGCGUGCAGAUCAAAUGUCUAUGAUUUGGUUCCAAUUUUUGGAGGCCUUCUUCCAUGAUUUGAUUCCAACCUAUGGAGGUCUCUGAGUUUGAUUCUAUUUUAUGCAGGUCUUCUUGGCUGUGAAUCUGGAAGCCCAAUUUUUGGACGAUGCUGGUUGUAGCAGCAGUUGCAUAUGUGCCGCUCGCCGCCGGCGGAUGGGGCCACGUGCAGAGGCAAUGGGAUGGGAAGCGAUGUCACCGUGUGCUUCACUGUCUAGGGAGCCUGUACUUGCUGCUGUGCAUGAUCCCUUCAAUUCGACCAUCCCUGUCCCAGCGGCCUAGCCGAAUUUGUGCUCCCUGCUCUUUGUCCUCUGUUCUUCUUCACUGGAUACAGAAACUGAUGCAGAGGUGAGCUUAAUUGCCAAGUAAAGCCAGAUUGUGUCUAUAACUUCAUAUCAAGAUGAACGCUACUGAUUUUCCAGAGCUAUAAGGCAUGUUAGUGUAUUAUCACCUUGUCUUUACCUAUGCUUCAUAUCAAUGCCAUCAUUGUUGUUUCUUGAAUGUUGGAAAUACUCAUUGGUGCAGCAGAGAUAAUUCUUUUUUUUCUUUUGAAUCAGCUGCAGGUGC